ACCUAGCCCCGCCCCCAGCCCCGCCGCGGGGCGCAGCGCGCCUCCCCGGGCUCCCGGCUCGGCUGCCUCCCUUUCCCUCAGCCUCCCGGGAGCGUGACGCGGCGGCCCGGGGGCCUCCGGGCGCCUUCCGGGGCACGCGGGAUCGACAUGCACUUGGAUCAUUGCAGUUUCUGGGCCUGCUGUCAUCUCCCCCUUCAGUACUUCCCACAUAUGACUACCAACUGUUAGACGAUGUGCUGCUGCCAGACCAGCCUUUCAUUUCUUGGACAUCCGGCUAUUUACCCAGGAAAAGUCAUCCUUUGACUAUUUUUCAUGACCUUUCUCAUCUGACUCGUGAUCUGCCCAUCUUGUUACUCCCUAGCAGUGUGGUAAGUGAAUUCUUGUUUCUGCCUUAAAUCUACUUCUGUCUCAGCCAAAUUCAUUCUCCCAAGAAGACAAGGAUCGAGGACUGUGGAGCCAACUCAGACUCGCCACGGCUAACAAUGUUUCCUGGGAUCGCCU
ensembl:lncRNA novel transcript